GGGUGUGAGGGCGAUCUGGCUGCCACAUAUGUCACUGCACUGAUCGCCAGGGUUGAUUCGGCUGAUUGGCUGGCUAUGUGGGUGUCCCCUUCCUCCUUCACCGCUCCGUAUGUGUCCCUCCUGAGGCUGCGCGCUCUGUCGAAGAGGACAACCAUCCCUGAUAGAGGAGGACCGUUCUUCUUGGUCAAGGGUUUAUGAGUAGCUGCGCUCCCCUGCCAGAACCUCCAAACACGCUCUCAAGGUGACAUAGGAGCUGGGUGUGAACCCAGGCGGUUCGACUUUACUGCCUCCCAAAUCAGUCUAUAGAGAAACUACUUUGAAUUU
ensembl:misc_RNA 7SK 7SK RNA